rnacentral:rRNA from 1 species
CUCCGUAGAGACUGCCGUCGUAAGGCGAGAGGAAGGUGGGGAUGACGUCAAAUCAGCACGGCCCUUACAUCCGGGGCGACACACGUGUUACAAUGGUAAGGACAAAGGGCAGCUACCUGGCGACAGGAUGCGAAUCUCUAAACCUUAUCACAGUUCGGAUCGGAGUCUGCAACUCGACUCCGUGAAGCUGGAUUCGCUAGUAAUCGCGCAUCAGCCAUGGCGCGGUGAAUACGUUCCCGGGCCUUGUACACACCGCCCGUCAAGCCAUGGGAGUCUGGAGUACCUAAAGUCCGUAACCGCAAGGGUCGGCCUAGGGUAAUACAGGUGACUGGGGCUAAGUCGUAACAAGGUAGCCGUACCGGAAGGUGCGGCUGGAACACCUCCUUUCUGGA